UUCAACUCCCUAUUACCAUAUCAACAAAAUACAAAAAAAAAAAAAUGAAGAUGGAUAGAGCAUUAUCUCUUGUAAUGGUUUGUUUGGUUUUAGGGCUUUUGGUCAAACCAACCUUCACAAAGUUCUCAGAGUGUUAUGACAACUGCUAUCAUGAUUGUACUUCGCAAUCAAGACCUGUUGAAUUUUGUGUAAUUCAGUGUUUAGCAAAAUGUGGAGGACAAAGCGAGGUCGACAGUUGUGCAAAAACUAAAUGUGUUAAUAUCAGCACCAAAGAUAAUCUUGCUUCGAACAACGUGGAAGCUUGCUUGAAGGCAUGCUCACAGAGUGACAAGAACUGAUCGAUCGCUUUACUAAGAGCAAAUCCUGAUUAUUGUUGUUAAAUAAUAAUUGCUUUGUUAAAUUACAAAUAAUGUCAUGAGUAAAAUUUUUAUCUUUA